ensembl:lncRNA novel transcript
AAAGGAUAGGAGAGACUACUUUUGCCUUGAGGGGAAGAAAGAAGUCAGGGGCUGGCUAACAGGGGGUGUGGAAGCCUGCAAACUACACUUCAUAGGCUGUGAUCAGCUGCCUUCUGGUUGGGCUCUGCCAGUGAAAAGCCUUGGGACAGGACUCAAAUGCUGGAGGGAAGGAGAAGUUUGAUUUUGCAUUGUUUUGGUUUUGUUUUACCCCUGCUUUCACAAAUGCCUCCCCGAGUGGUGACACAUCAGCGGAAGUGCAACUUCUGGCCCCCUGCACAGCUUCAGGGACCAUCUGAUAGCAGUAACAGCAACUGCACCUCCAGAAGAUCAGAAGCACAUGCAGGCUGGGCUUCUGUCAAAGGCUGGGAAGAGCUCCCUGGCCUCUGAGUUUCUCCCUUCUCCCUUUUACUCUUCUACCUCUUCCAAAAGAUUGUAACCAACUCCCUGUAUUAAAUCCCUCUCUGCUGGAAAUACCUCCAGUGCAAUCUA